GUUGAUUUUUAAUAUUGGUGACUACUGCGGCAAGGAAAAACGUACGAAGUCCCAUCCAAUAAACAGAGAAGAUAGUAUCGCGAUCCAUUGAGAAAAGAAGGCCACGACAAAGAAGAAUGGGUCAGUAUUCAAAAGCUGCUGAAAAAUAUGGAAAAAGAACGAGUUCUUGGCAUACAAUGCUGACACGAGAAAUAUUCUAUUAAUUACAAAAAAAGGAUGCUAAAUGACAGCUGGGCCUUCAGUUUACAAAUUAU
rnacentral:lncRNA from 1 species